rnacentral:lncRNA from 1 species
GUCAUUUUAUAAUGCUUGGAUAGAAACAAUGGGAACACCAGUGUCUAGAUUAUAUUGUAGUUGGCAUAUAGAUCGUGCUUGGAGAAAAAAUUUGAACAAAGUCGAUGGCAAAGAUAAACAGGUUCUGGUUUAUAAACAAAUAAGAUGCCUUAUGGAGG